GCCCAUCCCCAAUGGCACAAUAGGUCAGUGCAUCUGGCUGUUAACCAGAAGGUUAGUGGUUCGAGCCUACCCAGGGACA
rnacentral:tRNA from 1 species